AGAAAGAAGUCACACAGACCAGAAUCAUUCCAGCUGUGGCUACAGGUUGGGUUUUUAUGGUUUGGAUGCUCAUUUGACUUUGACAUUGUACAUAAUGUUGAGUGAUGUUAGGCUACCCAGAGAAAAAUCUGAUGGUGACUUCUGCUUUGCUGAUUCUUGGUUCCAUUCACUGCUUUGGGUCAGAGCCAGGCUUCGAAGUCCCUGGCACCUUCAAAGCUUUUGUGACUGGGGAGUCAUCAGCAUAAAAAAAAUAAAAUAAAAUCCAUUAGCCACAGAG